GAUUUCUGGUUUGUAACGCGUAGCCGGCCACGGUUUCGUGUGUUAGUGCUGCUCGUUCUGGCCAUCCUUCCAAUCGCGUCGCGUCCGCUCUUCAUUGCGCGUGUGCGCGGCGUAUUGGAUCUUUUACUUUGAAAAAAUUAGAGUGUUUCAAGCAGGCUUACCAAGCUAUGAAUACAUUAGCAUGGAAUAAUAAUUUAGGACUUCGGUUCUAUUUUGUUGGUUUCUAGGACUGAAGUAAUGAUUGAUAGGGAUAGUUGGGGGUGCUAGUAUUCAGCGGCCAGAGGUGAAAUUCUCGGAUUCGCUGAAGACUAACUUAUGCGAAAGCAUU
rnacentral:rRNA from 1 species